AACGAACGCUGGCGGCAUGCCUAACACAUGCCAGUCGAACGAGACCUUCGGGUCUAGUGGCGCACGGGUGCGUAACGCGUGGGAAUCUGCCCUUGGGUUCGGAAUAACAGUUGGAAACGACUGCUAAUACCGGAUGAUGACGUAAGUCCAAAGAUUUAUCGCCCAAGGAUGAGCCCGCGUAGGAUUAGCUAGUUGGUGAGGUAAAGGCUCACCAAGGCGACGAUCCUUAGCUGGUCUGAGAGGAUGAUCAGCCACACUGGGACUGAGACACGGCCCAGACUCCUACGGGAGGCAGCAGUGGGGAAUAUUGGACAAUGGGCGAAAGCCUGAUCCAGCAAUGCCGCGUGAGUGAUGAAGGCCUUAGGGUUGUAAAGCUCUUUUACCCGGGAUGAUAAUGACAGUACCGGGAGAAUAAGCGCCGGCUAACUCCGUG
rnacentral:rRNA from 1 species